rnacentral:rRNA from 1 species
CCUACGGGUGGCUGCAGUGGGGAAUAUUGGACAAUGGGGGCAACCCUGAUCCAGCCAUGCCGCGUGUGUGAAGAAGGCCCUCGGGUUGUAAAGCACUUUCAGUGAGGAAGAACGCCUGGUGGUUAAUACCCAUCAGGAAAGACAUCACUCACAGAAGAAGCACCGGCUAACUCCGUGCCAGCAGCCGCGGUAAUACGGAGGGUGCGAACGUUAAUCGGAAUUACUGGGCGUAAAGCGCGCGUAGGUGGCUUGAUAAGCCGGUUGUGAAAGCCCCGGGCUCAACCUGGGAACGGCAUCCGGAACUGUCAAGCUAGAGUGCAGGAGAGGAAGGUAGAAUUCCCGGUGUAGCGGUGAAAUGCGUAGAGAUCGGGAGGAAUACCAGUGGCGAAGGCGGCCUUCUGGACUGACACUGACACUGAGGUGCGAAAGCGUGGGUAGCAAACAGGAUUAGAUACCCUGGUAGUC